GUAGGGUAACGGCCUACCAAGGCUAAGACGGGUAGCUGGUCUGAGGGGAUGAUCAGCCACACUGGCACUGAAACACGGGCCAGACUCCUACGGGAGGCAGCAGUGGGGAAUAUUGGACAAUGGGCGCAAGCCUGAUCCAGCCACGCCGCGUGAGUGAUGAAGGCCUUCGGGUUGUAAAGCUCUGUGGGGAGGGACGAAAAAGGUAGGGAACAAUACCCCUGCCCUUGACGGUACCUCCUUAGCAAGCACCGGCUAACUCUGUGCCAGCAGCCGCGGUAAGACAGAGGGUGCAAACGUUGCUCGGAAUUACUGGGCGUAAAGGGCGUGUAGACGGACUCGCAAGUCGGAUGUGAAAUCCCUGGGCUCAACCUAGGAACUGCAUCCGAAACUGCGAGUCUCGAGUGCCGGAGAGGGAAGCGGAAUUCCUGGUGUAGAGGUGAAAUUCGUAGAUAUCAGGAGGAACACCGGUGGCGAAGGCGGCUUCCUGGACGGUUACUGACGCUGAGACGCGAAAGCGUAGGGAGCAAACAGGAUUAGAUACCCUGGUAGUCCACGCUGUAAACGAUGGGUGCUAGGUGCUGCGGGUUUUGACCCCUGCGGUGCCGUAGCUAACGCGUUAAGCA
rnacentral:rRNA from 1 species